GUUGUCAUAGCUCAACGGUUAGAGCAGGAUACUGUUAAUAUCAAGACCAGAGUUCGACUCUCUGUGACGACU